CGAGUUCUUAGCCCAUUUGGGACCCAAUUUCAAAAAGUCUUUCUCCACACUUCUAAACACUUUUCAUGCAUCUCUAGCACUUGUAAUCAGUCAAAUUUAUUGUAUUCUAACAUAUUCUAAACCCAAACAACACUAGAUAAGUCAUUUAGUGGUUCAACGCAAUGUUUCCGAGUUCUUAGCCCAUUUGCGACCCAAUUUCAACAAGUUUUUCUACACACUUCUAAACACUC
rnacentral:lncRNA from 1 species